UAGCGUCCUGCCUCACACUACAGAAACAGGAGAUAGACUAGCGUCCUGCCUCACACUACAGAAACAGGAGAUAGACUAGCGUCCUGCCUCACACUACAGAAACAGGAUAGACUAGUGUCCUGCCUCACACUACAGAAACAGGAGAAACAGAGCCAACCUUUCUGACGAGGCUGACUUACCACACAGGUAAUAUUGGGUCAUUUGAGUCACAUACUGUGUGUUAGCGGAUGGGGACAGUCUACUGUGUGAUAGCGGAUGGGGACGGUCUACUGUGUGAUAGCGGAUGGGGACGGUCUACUGUGUGUUAGUGGAUGGGGACAUGAACAAAGACCAAAUCUGUCUGUGGUGAUUUGAUCCUCUGUCUGCAUUCCUUUGUCUCUGUGUUGUGUGAGUUAAACUAGUCAGUCAGUACCUACCAAUUAGAAUCACUAAGGUCAUUAGAGAUCAGUCAAACUGAAAUGUUGUGUAGAGUGGAAGGUAGGCACGUGUACUACAUCAUACACAACAUGUGUACUACAUCAUACACAAUGUGUACUACAUCAUACACAACAUGUGUAGAGUGGAAAGUUAACGUGUACUACAUCAUCAUACCUCUGCCUUUUUACAUCUGUAAACAGGAAGUGAUAUCAGCAGCAUUUAAACAGUACUGUCCUUCAUUUCAGGUCUUCAGUCAUUUCAGAACAAGAACAACGAAGAUAAACCGUGAACAACAGCCCAAACGUUAUUAUCUGUAUCUGAAGGCCAAACUAGAUUUCUAACGUCGGGAAUAUUCUUAGAUACUUUGCCGUAACAGGGAAAAUGAAAAACCUAAAAUGCAUUUAAACUGAACAAUAAAAAUGCGUAAAUCAUACCUC